AUGCAGCGAGAAGUCUAAGUUUUGGUGGUAUGAUAAGAAAGUAAGAUUAAAGCUUGCGAAGAUUUAUCAGACUAAAAAUAUGCUUCAAGAGUUUGUAGAUGUAUUUUUUCCCCUGGUUAGUCAAUUAAUCACCUCUGAAACAACAGAGGAGCAGGUUUCUAAAAAGAAAAAGCUUUCAACAAGUGAGCUGAGUUAAUCACCUCUGAAACAACAGAACAGCUGGUUUCUAAAAAGAAAAAGCUUUCAACGAGUGAGCUGAUUGAAAGAGCUAGUGUUGGAAAACAAUC
rnacentral:lncRNA from 1 species